UACGAAGGGGGCUAGCGUUGCUCGGAAUCACUGGGCGUAAAGGGUGCGUAGGCGGGUCUUUAAGUCAGGGGUGAAAUCCUGGAGCUCAACUCCAGAACUGGCCUUUGAUACUGAAGAUCUUGAGUUCGGGAGAGGUGAGUGGAACUGCGAGUGUAGAGGUGAAAUUCGUAGAUAUUCGCAAGAACACCAGUGGCGAAGGCGGCUCACUGGCCCCGAUACUGACGCUGAGGCA
rnacentral:rRNA from 1 species